UUCAGACCAGAUUCGGAAUUGGAUUUCGCAAUCAGGUGCGUGCUUUGCGAUUCUUUUCGGUCAAAAGCUCAGAUUCAUCUUCUAUGUCAACAUUGUCAUCUUCGAGGGCGGGCUACAGCUAUCCGUCACCCAGCUUGUCGACGUAAUCUGCUAUAACAAUGCAGCGAAGAAUCCCGUAGCAUGAAAUGCCGGCUUUGCUCGGCAUUCUCGUGUCGAACAAUGGACUAAAGCACCGUGCAGCUCGUUCUCGUGAAACGGCUGCAUUCCGCUGCCACCGUAAUCUUAGAUGCAAGAAUUACAUGGAAGAGGAUCUGCUCACCAGAAAGAACUGGUUGGACACUGUUGAGAAGAAUGCUGAAUGCCAAUAGGAUACAUAGCCUGUUAACAACCACCUGAAUGACUUGACUUGUUGAAAAGAUAAGAGCAAUUUUGUCAUGAAAACCGAUGAUUAGAGACCAGAAGACAAGGCCAACAGCUGUAGAUGUUGCCACAGAGACAAUGGUAGCAAAUCUUGCGCCUUUUCCAUUGCCUGCUCCAAGCUCAUUAGCAACCCGGACCCUUCGUUCUCACCCAAAAGCACUGUGCACGGUGAGUUCGAGUCAUGAAUGGGAAAGGAAGAGAAAGAGCAUACAAGAGAUGGGUAAACAAAGUGGAAAUACCAGAGCAUGACACCGGAUGAGACCGACAGCUUCAGAAACCCCCACAGCUCGGCGAAUGCUUCAAAGGAGAA